CACAGAGCAGAGCUCAGCGCUGCCCCUUCACUCCCUGUGAGGAGCUGCAGCUGCCAUCAGGCCUCUCCUCCGCUUCUCUGCUCUGGGCUGAGCAAACCAAGGGGCCUCAGCUGCUCCUCAUAUGUCUUCCCUGAUAGAACCUUAACUGUCUUUGUAGCCCUCCUUAGAACACUCUCAGAGAGUCCUUUUUGUACUGUUUGCACUGCGUUGCACAGAACUGCACACUGUACUCAAGGUCAGCCCUGAUAUCCCAUUCUCAGUUUUGACUUUAAAGAUAAAUGUGUAGAUGCCUGUUUGUACCUGAACUCUUCAUAUGCGGUCAUUCCUCAUCUUCUGGAGACAUGCUGAAGUUCUAUCAUUUGUGUUCUGCAGAUGUUGAAACUGAUGAAACAUCUAUAGAAAGACCCUGAAUAUAGGAGAGUGAUAACUUUCUCUUCACAUGGCAGUCUUAUAUUGUGGUGUACUGUUUUCUCUGUGCGUAUUUGCUUUUUGAAUCAUGUUUUUAACAUCUUUGUAAUAUCUGUGGGUUACAUGCUAGAAACUAUCCUAGUUUUGCAACCUCUUUUUUUGGUUCACCAGCAAUCACACUGAGUCUUAUGUGGUAACACCUAUAAUUGGUCACCAGUGAGAAACACUACCCACACAGGGCCAGAAGUGUACUGGUUUGUGGACAUCUGUGUAUUCCUACCUGAUGUUAUUGCAUUGUAAUAAGUUGGUUAAGGACUUUCUCUAACAACUGUAGCUUUGUCUGCAGUCAUGGUGAUUUCUCCUGCCCUGGCCCCUCAGUCAAAAGCAGACUACCCUUGCCUUGAGUACUGUUCAACAUAUGUGCUUAACUGUGGCAUGAUCUUUGGUAUUUUUCUUGAUGUGUAUAUUGUUUGGUUAAUUGAUAUUUUAUUUCAUAUUAUCAAAAGUCUAGUAUUUCAUGUAUACUUUGUAUUAUAGAAAUUGUUUCAGUUCGAUUAAGUUUUGCCUCAACAGAUUUCUUUCAUUCUCUCUUUCUCUUGAAAUUCCUUUCAAAAAAAAGAUUUGGUUGUUUUCAGUAAGUGUUCUUGAAAAGCAGCAAAAGUAAUACUAUUCUAAAUACAUGAGAGACAGCAAAGGAAAUUUCUGGUAGUUUUCUCUUUGAUGCAUUCCAGCUCAGUCCAAGGCAUUUAGCAGAGAGGAACUGUCUGAGCUCCCUUCUGCUGGUGUCUUUUGCCAGCCUUGUUUGGCCAAGUCAGAUGCCUUUGGGAAACAGCUGUUUGGGCACUCACAGACAGUCAUAAAGAAAAGCGAUUUCACCAGUAACAAUGCUAACAAGGGGUGUGAUAAUGCUGUAGCCUGAGUCGAGGUUUGUUCCAAGUUGCUGCUAUGUCUGCAGUGGACAAGACUGGAACUCAAAAGAAUUUGUCCCCAUGUGCUCUCAGAAAGUACACACAACAUGAAGAAGGUAUCUAGGACCUGGGAUAGAGUUUUGGAUAGGGCUGAAUUUCUUGUAAGAGAGUAAGAAGCAUUAUCCAAGGCUAUGGUUGUCCAACCUUUUGGCUUGCCUGGGCUGCACUGGAGAGGAAUUGUCAAGGACCAUGUCUACAAAGGUUGCUCUGAAAGUAAUGCUUCCUAAUUAUUUCCACAUAAACUACAUCCUCUAGAAAGAACACAAUAACACUAUUUAAUAAGUAAAUUCUCAGCUAGAACACAUGUUUUUUUCAGCACAGUCGCCACUAUUAGCUAUGCAUUCUUGCCAGCUGUGAACAAAAGCCUGCAUGCCAUGCCUGUAAAAGUCUGCACCAGCGGAGGUGACCCACAGUCCCCACUGCUGAAACACACCACCCACUGUUUCACUGUGCUCAUGUCCACUGUUUGGCCUCCAUAAGCAUUCACCAAGCAUCAAUGAAUGCGCCAUUUUUUCCACAUGGAGGAAUUAUCUCCCACAUCUUUGUUUCAUAUGGACUUCCAUGUCAGACACUGUUAUGUCAGACUGCCUCUCUGCUGCUAUCUGUCAUAUGACAAAAAAAUGUAAUGGAAUAUUGUUGGGAAGGUUCAACCUCCACUGCCAUACCACCAAGAGCCACUUCUGACAUCGUGGACAAACAUCAUACAGCAGGAGAUGCUUCUUUCAGAGCAGCCUUCAUAAAAUAUGUAAUAUAGUUAAUUUAUAUAAGUAACAAAACUUACUUUAAUUUUGAAUGUUUGUUAUUAAAACAUAUUAAUAAGAGUAACAAAAGCAUAAAACUAGUGGGACAUGUCACCUUGUUUUUGUGAAACUAAUGCUUUGGUCUAGCUUGAUGGCAGUAGCUGCAAUUCUUAGUGAGUUCUCAGGGUGUUCAUCAGAGAUUUUUGAAGUUGAAGAGACUGCAUCUUGUUUGGAAACUGAAAUAUGUAGAAGUGAUAUUUCACAAUCUGAUAUUGAUAGUUCAUGUACAUAAUUUACUGAGAUUCAUUCCAGAGCUAAAAAGCACUGGAAUCAGUUUUUCUAGUAUUCCAUCUCUUUAUACUUCAGUUUCUCUGCAAUUGUUGUCUAAUUAGCUGUUAAAUAAAUAAACACAUAAUAAAUAAGAAUGAAAUGCUGGGAGCCAGACUCCUACUAUGUAGAGCAGUGUAGAUCCAGUGCACUCUACCCUGGGGUGAUUAAUGUAGGUGCAGACAUAUUUAAGUCAGGAAAAAUAAAAUGGUGAUAAUCU
rnacentral:lncRNA from 1 species